UGGGGAAUCUUGCGCAAUGGGGGAAACCCUGACGCAGCGACGCCGCGUGCGGGAUGAAGGCCUUCGGGUUGUAAACCGCUUUCAGCAGGGACGAGGCCUUAUGGUGACGGUACCUGCAGAAGAAGCUCCGGCUAAAUACGUGCCAGCAGCCGCGGUAAUACGUAUGGAGCAAGCGUUAUCCGGAUUCAUUGGGCGUAAAGCGCUCGUAGGCGGUCUGUUAGGUCGGCAAGUUAAAUCCGGGGGCUCAACCCCCGUCCGCUUCCGAUACCGGCAGACUUGAGUUUGGUAGGGGAAGGUGGAAUUCCAAGUGUAGCGGUGAAAUGCGCAGAUAUUUGGAAGAACACCGGUGGCGAAGGCGGCCUUCUGGGCCACGACUGACGCUGAGGCGCGAAAGCUAGGGGAGCGAACAGG
rnacentral:rRNA from 1 species